UCCUGUUUUAAAAUAAAUAAAUUAGUCUGUUUAUGUUUGUUUUUAUGUUUUUCAGGAGUAUUGUUAACUUCAUUAACUAACUUUUAGAGAUAAGCUUCAGGAUAAUGAGAUUUGAAUAUACACAAUUGUCCCAUAAAAAGAAACUGUCAUAGUUCACAGAAAGCCAUUUCCUUUGAGCUUCAUUGCUGAUAAAGAAAAUGCAGAGAGAGUUGCCUUUCAGCUAAAAAAAAAAAGGACCAUGCUUCAGCUGACAUCUGACUUUAUACACAGUUGACCCUUGAACAGCACAACAGGACUGCAGUUGUGCACUUCUAUGUAGAUUCUGUUCAACAAAGCACCGAUGGAAAAUACAGCAUUUACAAGAUGAGAAACCCGAGUACACAGAGGAUCAAUCUUUGGUAUAACACGAGUUCCACAAGGCUAACUGUGGCAUUUGGGUAUGUAAGGAUUUUGUUAUACGCAAGGGACCUGACGCCAAUCCUGUACAUAUACCAAGGGAUGACUGUAUAAUCUAUUGUUUAUUACCUAAUCCCUUCACUUUUGAUACUCAGCGAGGUUAAGAAUGUCUUGUCCAAAACCACUUAGUUGAUAAUAAAGAGGCUAAAAACCCAAAUCCCUUACCCAACUACUAGAGCAGUACUUUUUCCUCUUUCUCAACCAUUCAGAGCUCACAUUGAAUGAUUUCAUAUUAUCCUGACUACUUGACAGUUCAGUUCUUCCUCUUCUAGGCAUUUGACCAAUUCCACCCAAUCCUGUUCCAUUUUUGUUUGAUGUGGGUGGAACAGGUGUAGGGGUAUCAAUGGCAGUUUACAGAACUCUCUCCCUUGAGAACAUUUUAAUGAUAUUAUAAAAAUUAAUUUACUUUAAAGUAUGAGCACAGUUAGCCCCAUGACAUUAAACUUUUUUAUUAAAAUAAAGUGUUUUAUUCAAGUCAAUUAAUUUUUGUAGCAUCAUUCAAAUUUUAUCAAGAAGUUAAUUCUUUAAAUAGUCAUCAGUACAACAUAUGGUGUAGUAAACAUUGGUUUAUUAAAAUAAAAUCUUUCAUUCAAUCCAAAUGGCCAAUUUCAUUAUGUUUAUCAUUAAUUAUUUGUGUUUCAGCAUUUGAGAAGUUGAAGAAUUAUGUAUGUAAAUAAGUUUUAUGUAGAAAAUAAUUUUAUGGAAAAUAAUUUUCACUUCAGGCACAUUAAGUCAAUAACUCAGUUACAAGUUUGCCUAUUGUAUUUCACACAAUCAUAUAUUUUAUUUAACAGUCAUUAUAGAAAAGGUAUUUUUCAGAGGGUGUAUUCAUAUUAGGGUGAAAUGUAUCUAGUUGUCAUUUUAUAGCAAGAUUAGCAAUUUCAACAAUAUUGAAUCUAACGUACACAUUAGUUGUAUAUCAUUCUCAAUGAUUUGAAUGUGCUAUGGUUCUAUAUACAUGCAUUUCUACUUGAACUUUCUCCAGUAAACAUAGAUUAUUAAUUCAACAAAUAUAAAUUGCAAUCAAUGGAAUGAAGCUUUGAAAAUGGCAAAUUGCCAGAUGAGAGUUUUUGACAGAACCAUGUAAGUUUUAAGAGAUAAAAAAUCAUUUAUAAAAAUAAUACAUAAUAUUCACCCUCCCUGGAUAACAUAGCUUUGCUUUUUUUAAGUAAAUGUAAGAAAAAAAUUAUUAAAAUAUUUUAAGCAAAAGUAAGGAUAUAAGUAAAAGAAGACUGGGUCAAAAAGAAGAAGUUGUGGGUAGAAGAGAAAAAUGAAAAAAAUAUAUACUUUACCAAAAAGUUCAGAAUUAUCACUGAGCAUAUUUAUGCCUAAGUAUUACAUAUAAUCUAUGAUUAGAAUCAGGAAACAAUGUUAUGUCAGACUUCCUGUAUUCACAAAAAUAUACCAAUUGGAAGAGUGACCAUGAAGACAUUCUUUUCUAAUGAUAGCUAAAACUACGGCUGAAAUUGACAAAUAAUCUUUAAAGACAGAAGCUUUUUUAUUAAAUGUUUCAUCUCAACAUUGGUAAUGUUAUUUUCCACUGAAAGAAUGUUCAUUUGUUCAGUGCCGCUACAAAAUAUCAUGAAAAUUAAAGCUAUGAUGUAAUAUUUUGAGUUUUUUAGCACCCCUAAAUUCAGUUUGGAGAGUACAUGUGUAUCCAAAAAUGCUGUUCCCAUUUUUAAAUUUGUGUUUUUCUAACAUUCCUAUAGUUGUUUUGGUAGUGACAUUGAUUGGAAUUAUCUCCAAACUGUUUUUUGUUGUUAUUUCUAGCAAUAAUAAAGAUAUGAUUUG
rnacentral:lncRNA from 10 species